rnacentral:lncRNA from 1 species
CUUAGAUGCUAUAGGGUUUGGGUUAAGGUUUACGGUUUGGGUUUAGGGUCUAAGACUUGGGUUUAGAGUAUAGGAGUUAGGUUUAUAGUCUAUUUUUUGGGUUUAAGGUAUAUAAUUUGGGUUUAGGGUCUAAGAUUAGGGUUUAGGGUAUAGGGUUUGGGUUUAGGGGUUUGAAUUUAGGGUAUAGGGUUUAGAAUUUAAGAUUUAGGGUUUAGGGUUUCGCUGAAAGCGUUAACGUCGUUAAAAUUAGCGUUUUUAUUUGUUGUAGCUAUUUUUUAUUUAGUUUAAUAUUUUUUAAUUAAUAAUCUAUGUGUCAUUUUGAUUGGUCCUAAAGAGUGGAAUGAAUUUAGGGUGAACAGAAGUGGAAAGAUAAAAUAUGCAAAUAAAUGUUUUUACACUACAAGAGGAAUAAACAAGCAAAUUGCAACCUACACUCCGGUUACUAAUAUUAUCACUCCAUUUUUUUUAAGGACAAAACUUAGGUUAGGGUGAACCUUUAAAUUCACCCCACUCUUUCUGACCAAUCAAAGUGACACAUAGAUUAUUAAUUAAAAAACAUUAAAUUAAAUAAAAAAUAGUUACAAAAAAUAAAAACACUAAUUUUAACGACGGUAACGGAUCCAGCGAAACCUUAAAUCCUAAAUCUUAAAUUCUAAACCCUAUACCCUAAAUUCUAAACCCAAAUCCAAAUUCAAACCCCUAAACCCAAACUCUAUACCCUAAACCCAAAUUAUAUACCUUAAACCCAAAAAAUAGACUAUAAACCUAAACCAUAUACCCUAAACCCAAGUCUUAGACCCUAAACCCAAACCGUAAACCUUAACCCAAACCUAUAACAUCUAAGUUUGGGGUUUGGGUUUAGGGUUUACCGUUUGGGUUUUAGGUCUAGGAUUUGGGUUUAGGGUAUAGGUUUUGGGUUUAGGAUUAACCGUUUGGACUUAUGGUUAAGGUUUUGGGUUUAGGGUAUAUAAUUUGGGUUUAAGAUUUACGGUUUGGGUUUAUGGUCUAGGACUUGGGUUUAGGGUAUAGAGUUUAGGUUUAUAGUCUAUUUUUUGGGUUUAGGGUAUAUAAUUUGGGUUUAGGGUCUAGGAUUAGGGUUUAGGGUAUAGGGUUUGGGUUUGGAUUUGAGUUUAGAAUUUAGGGUAUAGGGUUUAGAAUUUAAGAUUUAGGGUUUAAGGUUUCGCUGGAAGCGUUAGCGUCGUUAAAAUUAGUGUUUUUAUUUUUUGUAGCUAUUUUUUAUUUAAUUUAAUAUU